UACGAAGGGAGCUAGCGUUGUUCGGAAUCACUGGGCGUAAAGCGCACGUAGGCGGAUGUGUCAGUCAGGGGUGAAAUCCCGGAGCUCAACUUCGGAACUGCCUUUGAUACAGCACGUCUUGAGUCCGAUAGAGGUGGGUGGAAUUCCUAGUGUAGAGGUGAAAUUCGUAGAUAUUAGGAAGAACACCGGUGGCGAAGGCGGCCCACUGGAUCGGUACUGACGCUGAGACGCGAAAGCGUGGGGAGCAAACAGG
rnacentral:rRNA from 1 species